CUCCAUAUCUUCCCACAGCUUUAUUGAACUGCAAAUGGGUUUUUGUCCAUACAAUUAUAUGCAGUUCAAGAAAGCUGUGGAAAAGUAUGAACA
rnacentral:miRNA from 1 species